CUGUAAGCCUGCGAAGGUGGCUUGUAAAGGCUGCUGGAGGUAUCAGAAGUGCGAAUGCUGACAUGAGUAGCGAUAAAGAGGGUGAAAAGCCCUCUCGCCGUAAGUCCAAGGUUUCCUGCGCAACGUUCAUCGGCGCAGGGUGAGUCGGCCCCUAAGGCGAGGCAGAGAUGCGUAGCUGAUGGGAAGCUGGUUAAUAUUCCAGCACCGUCGUACAGUGCGAUGGGGGGACGGAUUGCGGAAGAUCAUCAGGGUGUUGGAUGUCCCUGUUGACGCAUCGAAGAUGGCGCUUAGGCAAAUCCGGGCGCGUAAAUCAAGGGUGUGGCACGAGCGAGCAUUGCUUGCGAAGUGAUUGGAAGUGGUUCCAAGAAAAGCCUCUAAGCUUCAGCUGUACGAGACCGUACCGCAAACCGACACAGGUGGACGGGAUGAAUAUUCCAAGGCGCUUGAGAGAACUCAGGAGAAGGAACUCGGCAAAUUGAUACCGUAACUUCGGGAGAAGGUAUACCCCGGUAGUGUGAAGCGCCUGCGCGCUUAGCAUGAUGGGGUCGCAGAGAAUCGGUGGCUGCGACUGUUUAUUAAAAACACAGCACUCUGCAAAGACGAAAGUCGACGUAUAGGGUGUGACGCCUGCCCGGUGCCGGAAGGUUAAGUGAUGGGGUGCAAGCUCUUGAUCGAAGCCCCGGUAAACGGCGGCCGUAACAAUAACGGUCCUAAGGUAGCGAAAUUCCUUGUCGGGUAAGUUCCGACCCGCACGAAAGGCGUAACGAUCUGGGCGCUGUCUCGGAGAGAGACUCGGCGAAAUAGAAUUGUCUGUGAAGAUACGGACUACCUGCACCCGGACAGAAAGACCCUAUGAAGCUUUACUGUAGCCUGGAAUUGGGUUCGGGCUUCGCUUGCGCAGGAUAGGUGGGAGGCUGUGAAGAAUUCCUUGUGGGGGAUUCUGAGCCAUCGGUGAGAUACCACUCUGGCGAAGCUAGAAUUCUAACCUUUUCCCGUUAUCCGGGAAAGAGACAGUUUCAGGGGGGCAGUUUGACUGGGGCGGUCGCCUCCUAAAUGGUAACGGAGGCGCGCAAGGGUUCCCUCAGGCUGGUUGGAAAUCAGCCGUAGAGUGCAAAGGCAUAAGGGAGCUUGACUGCAAGACCUACAAGUCGAGCAGGGACGAAAGUCGGCCUUAGUGAUCCGACGGUGCUGCGUGGAAAGGCCGUCGCUCAACGGAUAAAAGUUACUCUAGGAUAACAGGCUGAUCUCCCCCAAGAGUUCACAUCGACGGGGAGGUUUGGCACCUCGAUGUCGGCUCA
rnacentral:rRNA from 1 species